CACCAUUAAACCUCAGAGGAAGAAGGUUAGUUUCACCGCGCUCUUUGUUGUUUUGUCGUGAUGCUGGUUUAAUACAAACUUCGUGACUAAGUUUUGAGGCAAGCAGGGAUAUCUGGAGGAGUAUCAUCUGAACUGAGAUCUGCUGCUGUGAAGAUGCUGUUUGUUAAAGAGGAGAGUGAGGAGAACACGAGUGAACCAGAAACCCGGAUAAUAAAACACGAGGAACAAGAAACCCGGAUAAUAAAACACGAGGAACAAGAAACCCGGAUAAUAAAACACAAGGAACAAGAAACCCG